AAGGAUCCCCAUUAAGGUGGGUGGAAUAGUAUAACAAUGUGUCCAAUGUUGUUAUAGUAUCCCACCUACCCUGAUGUAGCUUU
rnacentral:pre_miRNA from 13 species